rnacentral:rRNA from 1 species
AGAGUUUGAUCCUGGCUCAGAUUGAACGCUGGCGGCAUGCCUUACACAUGCAAGUCGAACGGUAACGGGCCUUCGGGUGCCGACGAGUGGCGAACGGGUGAGUAAUGUAUCGGAACGUACCUUUCAGUGGGGGAUAACGUAGCGAAAGUUACGCUAAUACCGCAUAUUCUGUGAGCAGGAAAGCAGGGGAUCGCAAGACCUUGCGCUGAUUGAGCGGCCGAUAUCAGAUUAGCUAGUUGGUGAGGUAAAGGCUCACCAAGGCGACGAUCUGUAGCGGGUCUGAGAGGAUGAUCCGCCACACUGGAACUGAGACACGGUCCAGACUCCUACGGGAGGCAGCAGUGGGGAAUUUUGGACAAUGGGGGCAACCCUGAUCCAGCCAUGCCGCGUGAGUGAAGAAGGCCUUCGGGUUGUAAAGCUCUUUCGGCCGGGAAGAAAUCGUAUGGGUUAAUACCCUGUGCGGAUGACGGUACCGGCAUAAGAAGCACCGGCUAACUACGUG